AACGAACGCCGGCGGCGUGUUUAAGACAUGCAAGUCGCACGGAGUCAUUGAUGUAGCAAUACCUUGAUGGCUCAGUGGCGCACGGGUGAGUAACACGUAUGCAACCUGCCUGUAAGAGGGGAAUAACCCGGAGAAAUUCGGACUAAUACCGAAUAAUACCACGAGACUGCAUGGUUUUGUGGUCAAACAUUUAUGGCUUACAGAUGGGCAUGCGUAUGAUUAGAUAGUUGGUAGGGUAACGGCCUACCAAGUCUACGAUCAUUAGGGGUUCUGAGAGGAAGGUCCCCCACACUGGUACUGAGACACGGACCGGACUCCUACGGGAGGCAGCAGUGAGGAAUAUUGGUCAAUGGGCGAGAGCCUGAACCAGCCAAGUCGCGUGAAGGAAGAAGGUUCUAUGGAUUGUAAACUUCUUUUGCAGGGGAAUAAAGGACGGUACGUGUACUGUUUUGUAUGUACCUUGCGAAUAAGGAUCGGCUAACUCCGUGCCAGCAGCCGCAGUAACAC
rnacentral:rRNA from 1 species